rnacentral:rRNA from 1 species
GUUAAUCGGAAUUACUGGGCGUAAAGCGUGCGCAGGCGGUUUUGUAAGACAGUGGUGAAAUCCCCGGGCUCAACCUGGGAACUGCCAUUGUGACUGCAAGGCUAGAGUGCGGCAGAGGGGGAUGGAAUUCCGCGUGUAGCAGUGAAAUGCGUAGAUAUGCGGAGGAACACCGAUGGCGAAGGCAAUCCCCUGGGCCUGCACUGACGCUCAUGCACGAAAGCGUGGGGAGCAAACAGGAUUAGAUACCCUGGUAGUCAAGGGCG